CCUACGGGUGGCAGCAGUGAGGAAUAUUGGUCAAUGGACGAGAGUCUGAACCAGCCAAGUAGCGUGAAGGAUGACUGCCCUAUGGGUUGUAAACUUCUUUUAUAUGGGAAUAAAACGUUCCACGUGUGGGACUUUGUAUGUACCAUAUGAAUACGGAUCGGCUAACUCCGUACCAGCAGCCGCGGUAAUACGGAGGAUCCGUGCGUUAUCCGGAUUUAUUGGGUUUAAAUGGAGCGUAGGUGGAUUGUUAAGUCAGUUGUGAAAGGUUGCGGCUCAACCGUAAAAUGGCAGUUGAUACUGGGAGUCUUGAGUACUGUAGAGGUGGGCGGAAUUCGUGGUGUAGCGGUGAAAUGCUUAGAUAUCACGAAGAACUCCGAUUGCGAAGGCAGUUCACUGGACUGCAACUGACACUGAGGCUCGAAAGUGUGGGUAUCAAACAGGAUUAGAUACCCGGGUAGUC
rnacentral:rRNA from 1 species